rnacentral:miRNA from 1 species
UCAGAGCCUGGGAGUAAACGU